rnacentral:rRNA from 1 species
CCUACGGGGUGCAGCAGUGGGGAAUAUUGGACAAUGGGCGAAAGCCUGAUCCAGCCAUGCCGCGUGUGUGAAGAAGGCCUUCGGGUUGUAAAGCACUUUCAGUGGGGAAGAAAGCCUUGGGGCUAAUACCCUCGAGGAAGGACAUCACCCACAGAAGAAGCACCGGCUAACUCCGUGCCAGCAGCCGCGGUAAUACGGAGGGUGCGAGCGUUAAUCGGAAUUACUGGGCGUAAAGCGCGCGUAGGCGGUCUGAUAAGCCGGUUGUGAAAGCCCCGGGCUCAACCUGGGAACGGCAUCCGGAACUGUCAGGCUAGAGUGCAGGAGAGGAAGGUAGAAUUCCCGGUGUAGCGGUGAAAUGCGUAGAGAUCGGGAGGAAUACCAGUGGCGAAGGCGGCCUUCUGGACUGACACUGACGCUGAGGUGCGAAAGCGUGGGUAGCAAACAGGAUUAGAUACCCUUGUAGU